UUACAUUUUAUACUGUGAGGAUCUUAUUCAAAUUAGGUAGUUCUUUGUGAGCCCAUGUAAGUUAUACAAGGAUCAUAUGCAAAUUAGAUGUUCUUUUGUGAGCCCACUUAUGAACAGGUGCUUAAUGUAGAUUUCCACUUCACUAGAUGAAUAGUUAAGUGUAUUCAAGUGUACACAAUAUCUAGGUUCUGUCAGGUGUAUAGAAUUGCAGACUCUUUGUAUGACACAUUUUCAUUUGUGUGUGCUAGUAAAAAUGCACAUGCAGACUGCUCACUUGGAUAAUUGAUCUUGAAGAGAGAGGUCUGUGUUACAGUUUUGGGGGGUAUUUCCAAGGAAAGAAAUCGGCGUGGUGUGGUGCCAUGCAACCCAGUGCACGCUGAGACUGUUCUUCCCUCUUCUCAAUGCCGAAUUACGGCGGUCAACCUACGGGUCAACCUCGGCCAUACUUAUAGUCAACCUCGGACUACGUAUACUCGGGCAACCUCGGCUAGGACAGAGUCGGGUGUUUCAAGGUCAUUCAAGGGUUAUCUUCAACCAGAUCAACGGGGUGCAUCUCUAGCUUUCCACUGUUCAAGGCAAUCACUCGCCGUCGCUACUGGUCAACACUGGUCAACACACGUUCGUCGUUGCAGUCGUCGCAUAUAGUUUCAUCGAAGUAUCAACGUUAAAUGAACUCAGAGAAGACAAACAUUUAUUUAAGCUUCAUUGAAUGCCAGUAUCCUAUUUACAGAUAAUUAUAAUUUAGUAAACGACAAUAAUAUGAUGUGUUCUAUUUGAGCAAGGAUAUUUGUAAUAUCCUCCUUGAUUUGAGUUACAUUAAAUGUUUCAUUCAACCUAUA
rnacentral:lncRNA from 1 species